rnacentral:rRNA from 1 species
GGACUACUGGGGUUUCUAAUCCCGUUUGCUCCCCUGGCCUUCGUGCAUGAGCGUCAGGAACUGCCCAGAGAUCCGCCUUCGCAACUGGUCUUCCUCACGAUAUCUACGCAUUUCACUGCUACACCGUGAAUUCCGAUCUCCUCUACAGUCCUCUAGCAUGGGAGUAUUGAGUGCAGUUCCGAGGUUAAGCCCCGGGAUUUCACACUCAACUUUCCACGCCGCCUGCGCACCCUUUACGCCCAAUGAAUCCGAACAACGCUCGAGACCUCUGUAUUACCGCGGCUGCUGGCAC